rnacentral:rRNA from 1 species
GAUGAACGCUGGCGGCGUGCCUAAUACAUGCAAGUCGAGCGAACGGACGAGAAGCUUGCUUCUCUGAUGUUAGCGGCGGACGGGUGAGUAACACGUGGAUAACCUACCUAUAAGACUGGGAUAACUUCGGGAAACCGGAGCUAAUGCCGGAUGAUAUUUUGAACCGCGUGGUUCAAAAGUGAAAGACGGUCUUGCUGUCACUUAUAGAUGGAUCCGCGCUGCAUUAGCUAGUUGGUAAGGUAACGGCUUACCAAGGCAACGAUGCAUAGCCGACCUGAGAGGGUGAUCGGCCACACUGGAACUGAGACACGGUCCAGACUCCUACGGGAGGCAGCAGUAGGGAAUCUUCCGCAAUGGGCGAAAGCCUGACGGAGCAACGCCGCGUGAGUGAUGAAGGUCUUCGGAUCGUAAAACUCUGUUAUUAGGGAAGAACAUAUGUGUAAGUAACUGUGCACAUCUUGACGGUACCUAAUCAGAAAGCCACGGCUAACUACGUG